CCGAGUUAUCAACUCCCAAACCCCUGUGAACAUACCUAUACUGUUGCCUCGGCGCAAGCUACCCGCGGCCCUCGGACAGGGACGGCCCGCCCGAGGACAACCUAAACUCUGUUAUUUAGUGAUACUUCUGAGGUACUACUAAUAAGUCA
rnacentral:misc_RNA from 1 species